GACGAACGCUGGCGGCGUGCUUAACACAUGCAAGUCGAACGAAGAGCGAUGGAAGCUUGCUUCUAUCAAUCUUAGUGGCGAACGGGUGAGUAACGCGUAAUCAACCUGCCCUUCAGAGGGGGACAACAGUUGGAAACGACUGCUAAUACCGCAUACGAUCUAAUCUCGGCAUCGAGGAUAGAUGAAAGGUGGCCUCUACAUGUAAGCUAUCACUGAAGGAGGGGAUUGCGUCUGAUUAGCUAGUUGGAGGGGUAACGGCCCACCAAGGCGAUGAUCAGUAGCCGGUCUGAGAGGAUGAACGGCCACAUUGGGACUGAGACACGGCCCAGACUCCUACGGGAGGCAGCAGUGGGGAAUCUUCCGCAAUGGACGAAAGUCUGACGGAGCAACGCCGCGUGAGUGAUGACGGCCUUCGGGUUGUAAAGCUCUGUUAAUCGGGACGAAAGGCCUUCUUGCGAAUAGUGAGAAGGAUUGACGGUACCGAAA
rnacentral:rRNA from 1 species